rnacentral:rRNA from 1 species
GACGAACCGUCCAAACGUUAUUCGGAAUUACUGGGCUUAAAGGGUGCGUAGGCGGCGAGGAAAGUAGGGUGUGAAAUCCCUCGGCUUAACCGAGGAACUGCGCUCUAAACUACCUUGCUCGAGGGAGACAGAGGUGAGCGGAACUUAGGGUGGAGCGGUGAAAUGUGUUGAUAUCCUAAGGAACACCGGUGGCGAAGGCGGCUCACUGGGUCUCUUCUGACGCUGAGGAACGAAAGCUAGGGUAGCGAACGGG